rnacentral:rRNA from 1 species
CCAUUCCGGUUGAUCCUGCCGGAGGCCAUUGCUAUUGGAGUCCGAUUUAGCCAUGCUAGUCGUACGAGUUCACACUCGUGGCGAAUAGCUCAGUAACACGUGGCCAAUCUACCCUUCAGCGGCGAAUAUCCUCGGGAAACUGAGGCUAAUCCGCCAUACACCUCUCAGACCGGACUGUCGAGAGGUCAAAACGCUUUCGAGCGCUGAAGGAUGAGGCUGCGGCCGAUUAGGUAGACGGUGGGGUAACGGCCCACCGUGCCCAUAAUCGGUACGGGUCGUGAGAGCGAGAACCCGGAGACGGAAUCUGAGACAAGAUUCCGGGCCCUACGGGGCGCAGCAGGCGCGAAACCUUUACACUGCACGCCAGUGCGAUAAGGGGACUCCAAGUGCGAGGGCAUAUCGUCCUCGCUAUCCUGUACUGUAGGGUAGUACAGUAUCAAGAGCUGGGCAAGACCGGUGCCAGCCGCCGCGGUAAUACCGGCAGCUCGAGUGAUGGCCAAUCUUAUUGGGCCUAAAGCGUCCGUAGCUGGCCGCGCAAGUCCGUCGGGAAAUCCAUCAGCCCAACUGAUGGGCGUCCGGCGGAAACUGCACGGCUUGGGACCGGAAGGCUCGAGAGGUACGUCCGGGGUAGGAGUGAAAUCCCGUAAUCCCGAACGGACCACCGAUGGCGAAAGCAUCUCGAGAAAACGGAUCCGACAGUGAGGGACGAAAGCUAGGGUCUCGAACCGGAUUAGAUACCCGGGUAGUCCUAGCCGUAAACGAUGUUCGCUAGGUGUGGCACUGGCUACGAGCCAGUGCUGCGCCGUAGGGAAGCCGAGAAGCGAACCGCCUGGGAAGUACGUCUGCAAGGAUGAAACUUAAAGGAAUUGGCGGGGGAGCACUACAACCGGAGGAGCCUGCGGUUUAAUUGGACUCAACGCCGGACAUCUCACCAGCCCCGACUACGGUAAUGACGGUCAGGUUGAUGACCUCAUCACGAGCCGUAGAGAGGAGGUGCAUGGCCGCCGUCAGCUCGUACCGUGAGGCGUCCUGUUAAGUCAGGCAACGAGCGAGACCCGCACUCCUAAUUGCCAGCAGCAGUCUCGACUGGCUGGGUACAUUAGGAGGACUGCCAGUGCUAAACUGGAGGAAGGAACGGGCAACGGUAGGUCAGUAUGCCCCGAAUGGGCUGGGCUACACGCGGGCUACAAUGGCCGGGACAAUGGGUCGCCACCUCGAAAGAGGGCGCUAAUCUCAGAAACCCGGUCGUAGUUCGGACUGAGGGCUGAAACUCGCCCUCACGAAGCUGGAUUCGGUAGUAAUCGCCGUUCACCAGACGGCGGUGAAUACGUCCCUGCUCCUUGCACACACCGCCCGUCAAAGCACCCGAGUGAGGUCCGGAUGAGGCCAGUACACACUGGUCGAAUCUGGGCUUCGCAAGGGGGCUUAAGUCGUAACAAGGUAGCCGUAGGGGAAUCUGCGGCUGGAUCACCUCCUACAG